rnacentral:rRNA from 1 species
UACAGAGGGGGCAAGCGUUAUUCGGAAUUAUUGGGCGUAAAGCGCGUGUAGGCGGCUUUGCAAGUCGGGUGUGAAAGCCCUCAGCUCAACUGAGGAAGUGCGCCCGAAACUGCAGAGCUUGAGUGCCGGAGAGGGUGGCGGAAUUCCCCAAGUAGAGGUGAAAUUCGUAGAUAUGGGGAAGAACACCGGUGGCGAAGGCGGCCAUCUGGCCCACAAUUGACGCUGAGGCGCGAAAGCGUGGGGAGCAAACAGG